GGCAGCUUGACUCUGACGAGGCCCUGCUGCCCAAUCUUUCGCUUGGCAGUGGGUGUGCAGGGGGCUGAAAUCUGACCCACCACAGGCCCAAGCACCUCAUGGUUAAGCCACAGCCACUAAGUGAGAAAACUGAUUUGAAUUCUGCCUUCACUGAUGGUACCUGCAUGAUCGCCUGUUCUUCUUCAUCUGCAGAUUCAGUGCACGGUGAUAAUGGGAAGGAUUUCAAAGUUCAUUUGAUGGAAGAAUCCUGCUUGCAUUGAAGAUGACUGCUGUCUGUAAGACGCCGUGACACUUCCUGGGAAUGGCCACUAACCAUCCUCCCAGCAGCAGUAACAGAGUUUGCUCCUGAAAUGUAAAGAAACAGCGUAGCGUGGGCCCCUCGCCAGAGCAAUGGAAGAAUCGUGAGGAUCUACGAUUUCAUUUUUCGGCAACGCCUCUUGCAUUACAACACGGCUACUCCAGCGCCAGCCCCGUCGGCCCUGCUUCUCCCGUACUCAGAGGUGCGCGGCAAGCGUCAGGCAGCAGGGGGAGCAAGUGUGCAAGCGGAGGGAAGAUGCUUCCGCGCACGUCUGAGCUCCUGUGUCCUUUAACAGGCCUGGGUAGGAAAAGUAUGUUUUUGUUUUGUUUUGUUUUGUUUGCUAACUGAAUGCCUAGCCCUCCAGGCUUCUCCGCAAAGAUUUGAGCUUACUGACUUGUAGAAUGGGAAAAACCACACUCAAUGGUUGUAGAAGAAAGUCAGCUCUCUGCCCCCUGGGUCAAAGGAAAUCAAAGCCUCCACAUUGCUACUGAGGCAGGACUGGGCUCUGGGUCUCUGCAGGUCCGAGAAGGCCCUUGAAGCUUUGGCUCUGUGGUGGGGGGAGGCCCAGACAGUGGGCUACCCUGGGUCUAGGGUUGGUACCACCUCUGCCAACAGCCUGCCUGAGAGGACAGGAACUUGUAAAGUCAGUAGCAAGAGAAUUAGACUGUACACUGCAGGAGGGAGAGAUGUUUGUGUUUUUCCACUGUAUCUCUGCCUUCCGGAACAGUGCAGGUGGCUGGCUUGGCGGCCACGUGCCUUCACUAGGUCCUUUGACAGAGUCCGUUAACUUAUGCUGUGUUUUGACCAAGGCCUUGAUGUCAGAUAGAAAAGAAACAAAUACUUUGGCAUCGUAUAACCUGAAGCCCAGAGUAAGGCUGGGGAGAAGCUUCGGGGGGCUUACACUGCUUCUGGAAUAACUUUGAGGGCUGACAAGCUGCUUUUACUCUGGGGUGUAUAUUCGCUCACUUCCUUUCUGGACCAGAACUGUAAUUUCUUAAUCUGGGAAAGAAAAGUUGCAUCAGGGGAGAUGCCCUGAGGGCUUGCUGGCAACAAUUUCCUUUCUGGCAAAAGACAGGAGAAGCAAAAGUUGAUUUUAGCCUCCACUUUGCAUUUACAUAUAGAAGAUAAUUGAUUUUCUCUUGUAUGGUAGUUAUUUACUGAAAACAUUGUUUUGGUCUUGGUUCCAAAUACACAUGAAAUUUGUACUCUAAUGCACCUGAUUUUGUAAUUUUUGGGGGGUGGGGGUAGUUUAAAAUGCUGACUUCCUAGAGUAUUUUUCUAGAACAGUAGAAAAGACAUUAACCAAAG